AACUGAAACAUACUGUGACGCUGACAGAGACGGCUGUUGCUGCAAGACAGAAGAAUUUUGGAGCACAGCAACUGUAGGUAAUGUUGAAAAACAACCAUGAUAAGGGCAAGACUCUCUGGCCAGAUUACAUUUCCCAUGAUGAACUGCAUUCAUAGGACUCCCAGGAUGAACUUUGGCAGCUCAGCAAGAAGAGGCAGAACAUGCAGCUGGGAAUUUCUGAGAUCAAAUCCCAGCUCUGGCACUGAUUUCCCCUCUACAGAACUGG